rnacentral:rRNA from 1 species
CGUGUAGGCGGCCGAUCAAGUCGGAUGUGAAAUCUCUCGGCUCAACCGAGAAACUGCAUCCGAUACUGGUUAGCUAGAGUGCGAGAGGGGUGAGUGGAACUCCAGGUGUAGCGGUGAAAUGCGUAGAUAUCUGGAGGAACGCCGGUGGCGAAAGCGACUCACUGGCUCGCAACUGACGCUGAGGCGCGAAAGCUAGGGGAGCGAACAGGAUUAGAUACCCUGGUAGUCC